AUUGAACGCUGGCGGCAGGCCUAACACAUGCAAGUCGAGCGGAUGAAGGGAGCUUGCUCCUGGAUUCAGCGGCGGACGGGUGAGUAAUGCCUAGGAAUCUGCCUGGUAGUGGGGGAUAACGUCCGGAAACGGGCGCUAAUACCGCAUACGUCCUGAGGGAGAAAGUGGGGGAUCUUCGGACCUCACGCUAUCAGAUGAGCCUAGGUCGGAUUAGCUAGUUGGUGGGGUAAAGGCCUACCAAGGCGACGAUCCGUAACUGGUCUGAGAGGAUGAUCAGUCACACUGGAACUGAGACACGGUCCAGACUCCUACGGGAGGCAGCAGUGGGGAAUAUUGGAUAAUGGGCGAAAGCCUGAUCCAGCCAUGCCGCGUGUGUGAAGAAGGUCUUCGGAUUGUAAAGCACUUUAAGUUGGGAGGAAGGGCAGUAAGUUAAUACCUUGCUGUUUUGACGGUACCAACAGAAUAAGCACCGGCUAACUUCGUG
rnacentral:rRNA from 1 species